UGUAAAAUAAGGGGGCCCACAAUAGGGCUAUGGUGAUAAACGUAACUUAUAAUAGAUAUUUUGGACUCGGGGGCGGUACCCGGCACCUCCACCUACAAAUUUUAUGGGGGUGAACUAGCUUCGACAGAUAUUAAAAAAAGUUAUUUUUACUCGGUAAGAUACCGCCGUGAUGGAUCAAAAAAAGUAAAUGCAAACAAUAAGUUUGUACCUGCUAAUAGCAACUUUAUGCCAGCUCUUCAAGCAGCAUAAUAUAAGCUAACUAGCGCGGUUUUGGGCUUGCCGGGCAACAGAAAAGCCCACAAAUUUUUGUGUAAGUAGAAUAUGAUUUACGAUCAGCAGA
rnacentral:tmRNA from 1 species